CCUGAGAAAUCCAAAAGUUCGAAUGGAGAGAUUCAGCGCCAGUGGCCGUUGGCUUGCGUGUUAUUGCGAUGUCCGGGCGUCCAGGUUAUCAUCCUACGGGUUGUCUGGUCGUCGCGUGGCACGCGGUGACCGCGUCAUGUCCGACGUCGCCGGUGUGCACUUCUCUCCUAGUAGGACGUCGCGACCCGUUGGGCGUCGAUCGACGGCCCGUGUGGUAGACUGUGACGCUCAGGUGCCACAGACCAUCGCGGUGUCCCCGGCCGGCUGCCCGGCGGUAUUGAAAGCAUUAUAAAAUCAUGAUUGGUAUCGGGUCGCAAUUUCGAAUGCGUUCGGCUUGCCGAUCGACCGAGCCACGCGCGGAUCUUACGGACCUGGUGCCGUUGCCGCGCGCUUUGGCUCCAUUGAUCGGUCAAUGUCCUCGAACCGGCCCGGUUUGCGCGCGAGUCUGUUAAGGCUCGCGCAAUACCGGUCGGCGACGCUUUUGCUUUGGAUACUUUCAGG
rnacentral:rRNA from 1 species